CAUCCAGACUCGAGGAAUAUAUUGAUAAUCAGGCUAAUGUAUUCAUAAUUAAGAUUAAAAUAUGGUUGGCUUAAACAGUAGCCAAGUAAAUUGUAUGCUAGCAGAGAUCGAGAUCUAGCUAGCUCUACGCAAAAAAACAAAAAGAUUGACAUCUAGCAACAGCGACAUGGCAUCGUUUAAAAAAAGCAGUAGCAGCAUGCACUCAGGGGUUGUUUGGAUCAUUGCCGCAAGGCGCCCUGCCAAAUUAUUGGUAGUUGACCAGCUCUAGAUGUCCAUUUGGAUGCAAGCCAAACAAUUGGCGCGCCCACACCUCCACAAUAUCUCAAGUUCAAUUCCCAGCCAAUAUUUUGGCAAGGCGUGGGCAGAUGAUUCCUGCGCCAAUAUUUUGGCAAGCCCAAGAUUGGCAAAGUUGGCGCUGGAUCAAACCAAACAGCCCCUCAAUCCCACCGAGAAUUCCUUUUUCACCACUCAGUUCUUAUCUUCUCCACAUAUCCACCCAUCUCUCUGCCUCCAUCUUCCUUUUCCUGCGACAUUUGACCACCACCCAGCGCCACGUCUCCACCGGCAGCCGACGUGCACCACCAGACUUCCUCCCGGACCUCCGCCAUAGUCCCAGUCUGGCCUCGCGCGCACAGGCCGGCCGCCAGCCAGGAGCCCAUACAGAGCCAGCCGCGCUGCAACAACGCCGCCGCCCGUACGCCGCCUCCCACACCAACCACGCCCGAGCAAGGAGCUCCCCUCGACCCCGGCCCCUGCAGCUCCUCCUCGGCUCCCCGUCCGGCAACCGGCGCCGUCACCGGCUAGCCCCUGCAACUCGAGCCGGAGCAUCACACCCGCGCCAUGAAUCUCCAACCCUGAUGCCCAAGCUCCCGCCGCUGUUCUGUGGACCGAGUUAUUCGCUCAAGGGAAACCAUCUGAAAAAGACAACAAGAGAGAGACGCCAAUGAACAAGUUGAUUCUAUCAUGCCAUUGGGAGAGGCGCCCAAGGAAAAGGUAGUGUGCAUGCUAGUCUUCUCAUGGUGUACCGGUUUGUGGGAGAGCUAAGAGUUCGUGCUGGGGCACUGCUUACCUUGUACUACCUACGAUGUGAAUACAGUGCAACGUGAUAUUGAUAUCGAAAUAGAGCGAACAUGGUGGUCCACCGAGUA